rnacentral:rRNA from 1 species
AUGAACGCUGGCGGCGUGCCUAAUACAUGCCAGUCGAGCGAACAGAUGAGGAGCUUGCUCCUCUGACGUUAGCGGCGGACGGGUGAGUAACACGUGGAUAACCUACCUAUAAGACUGGGAUAACUUCGGGAAACCGGAGCUAAUACCGGAUAAUAUAUUGAACCGCAUGGUUCAAUAGUGAAAGACGGUUUUGCUGUCACUUAUAGAUGGAUCCGCGCCGCAUUAGCUAGUUGGUAAGGUAACGGCUUACCAAGGCAACGAUGCGUAGCCGACCUGAGAGGGUGAUCGGCCACACUGGAACUGAGACACGGUCCAGACUCCUACGGGAGGCAGCAGUAGGGAAUCUUCCGCAAUGGGCGAAAGCCUGACGGAGCAACGCCGCGUGAGUGAUGAAGGUCUUCGGAUCGUAAAACUCUGUUAUUAGGGAAGAACAAAUGUGUAAGUAACUAUGUACGUCUUGACGGUACCUAAUCAGAAAGCCACGGCUAACUACGUG